UCGCUCGGCGGGUUUGACUGACCGGUUCGGACGUCAUGCCGGUGGGACCUCGGCGCAAGCCGGGGUUCCGUAACUUACCCUCCGCGCUGCUCUUAACCGAGUGGUUCGGUGGGCCGGCACGUUUACUUUGAACAAAUUUGAGUGCUCAAAGCAGGCCUUACGUUGCCUGGAAACUGUGUGCAUGGAAUAAUGAAAGAGGACCUUGGUUCUAUUUUGUUGGCUUUCUGAACUCGAGGUAAUGAUUAACAGGGACAGACGGGGGCAUUCGUAUUGCGACGUUAGAGGUGAAAUUCUUGGAUCGUCGCAAGACGGACCGAUGCGAAAGCGUUUGCCAAGAAUGUUUUCGCUAAUCAAGAACGAAAGUUAGAGGUUCGAAGGCGAUUAGAUACCGCCCUAGUUCUAACCAUAAACGAUGUCAGCCAGCGAUGCGCCGAUGUUCCUCCGAUGACACGGCGCGCAACUUCCGGGAAACCAAAGCUUUUGGGUUCCGGGGGAAGUAUGGUUGCAAAGCUGAAACUUAAAGGAAUGACGGAAGGCCCCCAGAGAC
rnacentral:rRNA from 1 species